rnacentral:rRNA from 1 species
UACGUAGGUCCCGAGCGUUGUCCGGAUUUAUUGGGCGUAAAGCGAGCGCAGGUGGUUUAUUAAGUCUGGUGUAAAAGGCAGUGACUCAACCAUUGUAUGCAUUGGAAACUGGUAGACUUGAGUGCAGGAGAGGAGAGUGGAAUUCCAUGUGUAGCGGUGAAAUGCGUAGAUAUAUGGAGGAACACCGGUGGCGAAAACGGCUCUCUGGCCUGUAACUGACACUGAGGCUCGAAAGCGUGGGGAGCAAACAGG